CACUCCUACGGGAGGCAGCAGUGGGGAAUAUUGCACAAUGGGCGCAAGCCUGAUGCAGCCAUGCCGCGUGUAUGAAGAAGGCCUUCGGGUUGUAAAGUACUUUCAGCAGUGAGGAAGGUGGGUAUGUUAAUAGCAUAUUCAUUUGACGUUAGCUGCAGAAGAAGCACCGGCUAACUCCGUGCCAGCAGCCGCGGUAAUACGGAGGGUGCGAGCGUUAAUCGGAAUUACUGGGCGUAAAAGCGCAUGCAGGUGGUUUGUUAAGUCAGAUGUGAAAGCCCGGGGCUCAACCUCGGAAUUGCAUUUGAAACUGGCAAACUAGAGUACUGUAGAGGGGGUAGAAUUUCAGGUGUAGCGGUGAAAUGCGUAGAGAUCUGAAGGAAUACCGGUGGCGAAGGCGGCCCCCUGGACAGAUACUGACACUCAGAUGCGAAAGCGUGGGGAGCAAACAGGAUUAGAUACCCUGUAA
rnacentral:rRNA from 1 species